rnacentral:rRNA from 1 species
UACGGGGGGAGCAAGCGUUGUUCGGAUUUACUGGGCGUAAAGGGCGCGUAGGCGGCCACGACAAGUCAGUUGUGAAAUCUCUGGGCUUAACUCAGAACGGUCAACUGAUACUGUCGGGCUAGAGUGCAGAAGGGGCAACUGGAAUUCUCGGUGUAGCGGUGAAAUGCGUAGAUAUCGAGAGGAACACCUGCGGCGAAGGCGGCGUCCUGGCUCGCAUCUGACGCUCAGACACGACAGCAUGGGGAGCGAACGGG